AUUGAACGCUGGCGGCCGGCUUAACACAUGCAAGUCGAACGAGUGGCGGACGGGUGAGUAAUGUCUGGGAAACUGCCUGUUGGAGGGGGAUCACUACUUGAAACGGUAGCUAAUACCGCCUACCAUCGGAUUUGCCCCGAGGGGAUUAGCGAGUAGGUGGGGUAAUGGCUCACCUAGGCGACGAUCCCUCGCUGGUCUGAGAGUAGGACAAGCCAAACGGGAACUGAGACACGUGCCAGACUCGUACGGGAGGCAGCAGUGGGGAAGAUUGCACAAGGGGCGAAGUCCUGAUGCAGACAUGCCGGGUGUAGGAAGAAGGCCUUCGGGUGGUAAAGUACUUUCAGCGGGGAGGCGUUACCAGCAGAAAAAGCAACGGCUAACUCCGUGCCAGCAGCCGCGGUAAUUC
rnacentral:rRNA from 1 species